AUGUGUAUGUCUGUGUGUUGUCUUAGAGAAAGAGAGGACACUAAGGGCCAAGGAAAGGCCUUUAGUGUCCCAAAACUGUCUGCAUUUCUAUUUCUGACAUCCCAGGUCACUGCGGAUCACAUCAUCCUUUAUAAUUCAGAGGUAGCAGCAAGGGAUGGAGAAGGUACUGAAUGUCUGUGCAGUUUAGAGAUGCCUGAAGAGCUCUUCCCUUCACACAUGAUUGAUAUCCUGGAGGAUGCCUACACCAACCUGACCGACCGCCUUAAACAUGACAUAAGUAAGAUUACAGUAAUAAAAAAUAAUAUAACAGACUAUACUGACAGGUUGAAAAACUUAACCGACACUAUAAGAGAUAUGGAGACCAAUGGCAUCAAGGAUGAUAGUGAUUACCAAAGAGUUGUGAAAGACAUAAGCAAUCUGCAAAAAUUAAUUGAAGAUUUAACGGAUCGCCUAAAUGGAACUGAAAAUGGGGUAGAAGACUUACUUAAUCAGGUGAUUUUUUAAAAAAUAUGGGUGGCAGUAUGACUAUUGGUUGUAUUUUGAUCUCUAAUCAACAAAAUAUUGCACUAAAUUGAAGCCAGGAAAUGCUGGGAGGGAAAUGGGCUACAAUUUCCAGGAACCUUCUGACUGCAGGUUAUAGUUUGAAAAGGUGGCUAUUCCAUAUUUUGUGCCAAAUCCCUGUAUCUCAAGGGGAUAAAAUAUGGUCCUUUGGACAUUGGACUUUAACUCUUCAGUACUAGUCAGGGAAGCUGGGAUCAACAAGAUGUGGAAAAGCCACUUGAUUCCUGCUCCUGCCUUUUGAGGAUUCAUUCUCUCUGUGUUUCCAGCCAGCACUGGACUCACCGAGAAAAGCAUAUAUUUGCAAUUCAAGUGACUCAGGUUAUUGGAAAAGUCUAGAAAUUGACAUUUGUACUUCAUCCCAGCAUUUUGAGCACAUUGGAGUUCAAUCUAUUUAACUUCACUCAAUUAAGUUAGAUUGCACCCAUAGUGCUUAAAAUGUUUGCAAGCACGGAGAUUGUUUGCAUACAGCACACAACCAACCUUGGGUCAGUACUCAGAGAAAGGCAGCAUAUUAAGUAAGUACGCAAGUAAAGUUGAAGAACCAAAGAUUAGCUCGGGGGGGGGGGGGGAUGAAGUUUCACAUUUAUAAAUUUCAUGGAAUGGGGCAUGUAAUGUCUAGCCAUGGGGAAUGGGCUGCUGGAGUACUGCAUUUUGUCAUAGACAGCAUUCAAGAAAAAUAGUACAAGAAACUGGUUGUACUUGUCUAGAGGGAAAGGAUGGGUGUAUGCUUAAAAGGAAGUGGGGGAAUGAGGGCUUCUGGGCAGUGUUGAACUUCAGUGUCCUUUACUAUCAACUAUGCUUGCUAGGGCUAUUGGGACGUGCAGUCCAACAAUGUGUAGAGGACUUCAUGAUCCCAGCCUGACCUUAAAUAGUCAAGAUACACACGAAGUAGAAAGCAGAAUGUGAUACACUUGUAAGCCAAGGCACUUUCUUUUCUUUCACCUGGGGCAAAUGGAGAUAGGCAGCCUCAGCAGUUAUGAGGAAGGGCAAGAUAUGCACAAAAGGAAUACAUAAACAAACAAUAAUGACCUUCAGAAGUUAUAUAUG
rnacentral:lncRNA from 1 species